GUUUUAAUAAUUUAAAUAUUAAAAAUAUUGAUUUUGUAAAUCAAAUAUAAGAUUUUUUUUCUUUUAAAACU
rnacentral:tRNA from 1 species